AGGGAAAGCUGGAGGCAUGCUUUACACAUGCAAGUCGAACGGCAGCGCGGGCUUCGGCCUGGCGGCGAGUGGCGAACGGGUGAGUAAUACAUCGGAACGUGCCCAGUAGUGGGGGAUAGCUCGGCGAAAGCCGGAUUAAUACCGCAUACGACCUGAGGGUGAAAGCGGGGGAUCUUCGGACCUCGCGCUAUUGGAGCGGCCGAUGGCAGAUUAGCUAGUUGGUGGGGUAAAGGCCUACCAAGGCGACGAUCUGUAGCUGGUCUGAGAGGACGACCAGCCACACUGGGACUGAGACACGGCCCAGACUCCUACGGGAGGCAGCAGUGGGGAAUUUUGGACAAUGGGCGAAAGCCUGAUCCAGCAAUGCCGCGUGUGUGAUGAAGGCCUUCGGGUUGUAAAGCACUUUUGGCGGGAACGAAAAGGACUGUGCCAAUACCACGGUUCGAUGACGGUACCCGCAGAAUAAGCACCGGCUAACUACGUG
rnacentral:rRNA from 1 species